rnacentral:lncRNA from 1 species
CCGUAUCUUCUCUUAUUCCAUUCUUCUCUCUUGACGUCGUCGUUUUCGUCUUUUUCCCUAUUGGACUCUGAGCUUUCUUCCAUUCUUACCUCAACAAAUCCAAAAGGCGUCCUAUUAGCCCACAAAUCAUACCCUCAAAGCAUAGGAAUAAUGUUGAAUAAAUGAAACGCAAUGAGAGAAUAUGGGGAUUGUUUUUAAGAGUUUUUUUUAAUAUAUUAUAAUAAUAUUUUUUAUUGUAAAAAAAGUUAUUUUUAAUGUAAACAAUUUAAAAAUAUAAAAAAUAAAUUUAAAUUUUUAAAAAACUCGUUUCAAACUUGUUCCGAUCCUCCGAAACAACUUGCAAUGGCAGAGAAUUGAAGGCGAAGCAACGCCUGCUUUUUAAAUUUCUCAAAUUUUCUCUUUUUUUCUCAACAUAAAACUGAAAAAUAAUAAAAAGGGAAAAAAAAAAGGAAAUUUAAAUAUACUUGGGCAUCAGAGAGAGAGAGAGAGGAGACCGACGGUUUUUGAUAAAUAAAAAUGGUGCAGCAACGUGGACUUGAAUUCAGUUAAUUAAUUAAUUUUCUGUUGAAUUUCAGAUUUUCUAAUACUUACUGGAGGACCGCCGCGUCUGUUCCGUCUUGAUCACUCCAGUAUAUUUAAAUUGGUAUUUGAUUCAAAUCGGAAACUUUGAGUAAUUUGAGAUCAGAAAUGGCAUCAACGGAAGGUCUGGUGCCGAUAACCAGAAAAUUCCUGGCAUCUUAUGACGACAAAUACCCUUUCGCCCCUCUCCCCGACGACGUUUCUCGCCUUUCCUCCGAGAUCCGCUCCAUUAUCACAGACUUGUUGCUAAUUUCUGGUUUCCUGGUUUUGUUUUCGUAUACAGGUCUAAUUAUUUAUUUUGUCCUAGCAGGUACCUUUUAGCAUUGCUGGUCCUUCCACAGCUGAUACUACCUCAUCGACGUUACGAGUCUGACCAGGUGAGUUACUGACUAUUUUACCACUCCUUCCAGAAUGAUGGAAAGGUCUCGCCCAUGACAUUUAUGUUGUCACAAGGAAACUUCUCCACGUGCAUAUCUGGAAA